UAUUUUAAAGAGAGUUUGAUCCUGGCUCAGGACGAACGCUGGCGGCGUGCCUAAUACAUGCAAGUCGAACGAACGGAGGAAGAGCUUGCUCUUCCAAAGUUAGUGGCGGACGGGUGAGUAACACGUGGGCAACCUGCCUGUAAGUUGGGGAUAACUCCGGGAAACCGGGGCUAAUACCGAAUGAUAAAGUUUGGCGCAUGCCACGCUUUUGAAAGAUGGUUUCGGCUAUCGCUUACAGAUGGGCCCGCGGUGCAUUAGCUAGUUGGUAGGGUAAUGGCCUACCAAGGCAACGAUGCAUAGCCGACCUGAGAGGGUGAUCGGCCACACUGGG
rnacentral:rRNA from 1 species